UACGGAGACUGCGAGCGUUACUCGGAUUCACUGGGCGUAAAGGGUAUGUAGGCGGUUGUGUGUGUCGGAUGUGAAAUCCCGGAGCUUAACUCCGGAGCUGCGUCCGAAACUGCACAUCUAGAGUCUUGGAGGGGUAGUGGAAUUCCCGGUGUAGCAGUGAAAUGCGUAGAUAUCGGGAGGAACACCAAUGGCGAAGGCAGCUACCUGGACAAGUACUGACGCUGAGAUACGAAAAGCG
rnacentral:rRNA from 1 species